rnacentral:tRNA from 1 species
UUAAUUAUAGUUUAUGAAUUAAAACAUUAAAUUGCAAGUUUGAAAAAAUUAAUAGAAUUAAUUAAU